AUCGCAGAACGAUUUAUUUCUCUUUUUCACCUCGAUCUUUGGCCUCUUGUGAUUUACCAAAACCAACAUGUGAAGUUACAACGCUGACGAAGGAGUUUCAUCAGUAGAGUGUGUCCUGGUAAAUGUGUGCUCGGAAACAUGCAGAUUACAGUAUUUACAGAGCCGACCUUGAGGCACCCACUGAUGGAUAAUCUGUUUACCUAAAAACAGCCCACCACAAUCCAUGUUUACCAGCUGUGAAAGUGCAGGCCAAAAAUCUUCCUUCACCUGUGGGCCUCUUCCCACAUGUAGAUAAGCACUUCAGGAGAAACCUGCCUGUGAUCUGCUAAGAUGCACAGAUUCAACUCUGGCCCAUUGUCAUCCCAACACCUCAUCUGUCAUCAGUUUCAUUUAGUGUCGGUCUAUUGCAAAGGUUCUUAUAAACUUUAAAUGAGACUUUGUGUUAAGCAGGGGUUUCCAAACUUUUCAUUCCACAACAUAUUAAGCCCAGGAUACACAGCAGGAUUUUUGCAAUCCAAUAAGACCUUAUCACACUGUGUGACAAGGAUUGUUUAAACUUCAGCAGUAGACUGUCGAUGAAGACACCUAUUGCAUCUGAGGCUGCGACAUCCGUCAUCAGCAUGCGCUAGUGGUAAACAAAUACAGGUAUGCAGGUCGUAGAAGCAAACACGUUGUUGAUGUGAGUUGAUCAUGCUGAACUACUUACACUGUCAUAAAACUAUCGUAUGUGUCUUUGGUCCCAGGACUGGGAAAACAGACGUCUUUAAACCUCUCACAAUGUAUGAGAUAGGACCACCAAUUAAGAACCACGAUCACAGAAAUCUUCACGAUUGUUUCACGAUUGGUAAUCUUUCAUCUGGGACAGCCAAAAAUCGUGCCAUGUAUUAUGGGCUUUAGACAGGUGUAAUCAUCCACAGUUUAAAAACCCUGAGUAUGAGAAAGAGUAUGUUGUAUUGUAAUUAAAGUCACAUCUAAGUGUUAUGGAACAGUUUGUCAUUAUAUUCACAGUAUUACAUGGUUCUUUCAGCAGUUACUACGUUACAGUGCUCUUAAAUUGUCCUGAUCAGCUUUGGGUCUUGUGAAGUAAUGUAAUGAGAAUGUGAUCAGUAGCUUUGCAGUAUUUUUGUUACACUGUGGCUGUAAUCAUAUUAACACAUAGGUUAAACAUUUUAUUCAAAUUUGGUAAACAGACUAGUCAAUAUAAUUCAUGCUGUGAUGCUGGAUUAAACCUGGUCAAAUGAU